ensembl:antisense
CAGGGGCCGCUGGUGGCCAGUUCAGAGCUCCAUUCAAGUCUCCCAUCACCACUACCACACCCACGUUAUUAAUGGGAGGGUGUGGGACCGCAGAGAACCUGCCCGGUGGCAUCCCCUCUGGCUGCACCUGCGUGUCCCAAGCUACGCCUUGGCCUUUCCUCACGCACCUCCGCGCCUCUGAAGAGCUAGAAGGAGCAAGCUCCUACGUCUCGAAUGUACUGCGCCGGUCCUCGCCCCUCAACCACCUGUCUCUGCUUCCCUUCCACGAAGCUUCUCCAAGUCGCCGCACCCCUGUUGCAGUAACACGCUCGCCGCCUACUGGGAAGCCGAGUCACGGGGCACCGUUCAGGUUCUUGCGCCCCGGUCUGCGGCCCCUCAGGCCUGCGCCGCCCAGGCCGCGAUCCGCGCCCGCCCGCCUGUGAAGCAGCAGCGGAGGGGUAGGUGCGGCCGGAUCCGGCAAGGAGAGGUCACGCGCGGCCGACCGGGCUUAUCCCGUGCCGCAGCUCCUACCUGAGCGGCCGCCGACUUCCGACGCUGCACAGCAAUCGCGGCCCCAAUGCGCGGCGACCCGCGGAGGCGCAACACUGCGGACUCCGCUUCGAGAGCUCCGCCCGCUCUUCCCACGCUCCGCGUCCGCGCUGCGCCACCCUGCGGCCAAGUCCGGCGUUGCGACUGCUGGGAACGCGGUCGCCGCCGCCCUUCUGUCUGAACUGCGGCAGAGGAACUAGCCAACUACAGUCUCACCGCAAACAGGCCCGCCUUAGCCUGAGUGCUUCUUCAGAGCUGUCCAGAUCCUCACUGGUCCUGGUUCCUCUGCCCUGUUCUUCCAAAGUUUCUCUCUCGCCAUGCCUCUUGUAAGGUAAAGGAAGCAGCCUCGAUUAAUUGAUUGUUAGAGGGAGCUAGGAUACAAGUUCAUGCAGAAUGCUUCUGUAAAGCAUCAAAUGUUCUACCACUAGUGUCCAUGAGUCCAAUAAGGAGUGCCAUCCCCUACUCAUCAUUGCACCCGAUAGAAGAAACCACAAUGCCAUCAGCUGAACUAUCUGGGAUAAAAUGAGUAGAUGACAUAAAUCAUCAGCUGUGACAUUGACUAGCAAAUGAGCUUGCCCCAGUUUACCCUUCUACAGAUUUGCUGCAUGAUAUCCCUACUCUUUUGGCUCCAACUGCGACGGUUCAUCAGGAAGUAACCAGUGGUGCCCAAGAUGGCCAGCAGAACUCCAGAGGUGACCAAUGCAAUAAGAGUCUUUCGGGAAUAGCUCUGGUGGCUCCCAAUAUCUUGUUUAUUGAAGCUUUGGAUCCCCAGCUUAAGGAAAAGACAAACAAACGGUAGCAUGUCACUUGUGGAAAAGGACUUCUAGUGAGAAGUCCAGACCAUUCUGCAUUCCUUGAUGGAACUCCCUGUUGAAGACUAUCAGAGGAAGGAAAGAAGGAAGGGGAUGCCUGAAGGCCACCAUUUCCUCUGCUAAUCCAGUGCUCCCUAUAAGAGGAAGAAGCUGAGGUAUAAAGACUAGUUACCUUAAGAAAAAUAUAAGAAAGAACUGAAGUUUGCAAAAGAGGGCAAAGACAUACCAAAUUGUGUUAGCAGAAAUAAUUCAGUGUGCUUAGGUAAAGCUGUCCCGGGGGAAGGGAGGUGUAUGGGGGGGCCACGGAAGCAAGUCUGGUGUGUGACAAUCUGCCCAGCCCCACUACAGCUAAAAUAAGAUGAAAAGACCCUACCAUCUCAGUUUUUCUCCAUGUCCUGCAAGACUCAACUCAAAUCCUUUGUCCUCCAAGAAGCCAGUCCUCUCUUUGGCAAAUUAGAUAUUAAUGCCUGUCCUCUCAUUUUCUAGAAUCUUUUCAAGUCAUCAGCAACUAGUCUGUCCUGGAUCCUCAUCUCUAAACUGAUUGUGUGGUGACUACUACAGCAAUGUAUAAAACAUUUAAUAUACAAGGAUUCUGAUUGGUACUAAACAAUAACGAUUACUAUUAUUACUAAUAAUCAUAGUUCUCAAUGUAAUGCUUAGGGAUGCAAACUGUGACCAUCUUCUGCCUCACUGUUGCCAUUUCUCUCUGACUAAACUGUAAGGCUCCUGAGUGCCUAUAUAUUGAGGGUGAUGGUGCAAGUUAGGUAAUUUUGAACCAAUACCAUACUUAUUACUGUAUAAAAUAAACAAAAGAACUAAAAAACUUGUUGUUGAGUCUAACACCCCAACUGGUUGGUCUCUCACUGGAGUCCUUCCACUGUAAGGUUAGUUUGUUGGAUUAAAUUCAAGGCAAUAACAGUGACCAGCCUCCCACUCUGGGAUCUGCCAACCCCGAUGAAUUGUGUUUGCUUUGGAGAGGAGCAGGUGGAUCCUGAACAAAACACAAUGCUUCUCCGGUUGCUUAGGAUAAACAUCCUCCCCCAAGAGACACUGCCUGGUGAACACAUGAGAGAGUGGGCAGGAAGAAGCCACAGAAUCACCAUUUUGUUUGUGAGAAUCACAGUUAAAAGUAUCUAACUACAUCUGUGUACAUAUGUUACUUUCU